rnacentral:rRNA from 1 species
GACAGAGGGUGCAAACGUUGUUCGGAAUUACUGGGCGUAAAGCGCGUGUAGGCGGCGUGGCAAGUCGGGCGUGAAAGCCCACGGCUCAACCGUGGAAGAGCACUCGAAACUGCCGCGCUAGAGUUCUGGAGAGGAAGGCGGAAUGCUUGGUGUAGAGGUGAAAUUCGUAGAUAUCAAGCGGAACACCGGUGGCGAAGGCGGCCUUCUGGACAGUGACUGACGCUGAAACGCGAAAGCGUGGGGAGCAAACAGG